rnacentral:lncRNA from 1 species
UUACAUAGUUUUAAAAAUAAAAUGUUAUACCAGAAAAAUGAGAAGAAGAAAAAGUCUAAUAACUUCCUUCAGUAAUCAGUGCACAAAAAUAAACAAAGAUAACAACAGACCUCAUGCAUGUCUAAUAAAUCUCUUCUAUUUAGUUAAAAUAGUUUAUCUUGUUAUUUAGAUUUGGAUCAUCAAGUUUAGGAGUAUAGGUUUAGUGUAUAAUCAAAGAUGCUUUUGGCAAUUGCUUAUUAAUAGCCAAACAACCAUAAAAGAACCAAAAGAUAUCAGUUGCUGCAAUCUCACCAGGGCUUCUCUAAAAUAUCUUUAUCUUUAAAUGAUUACAGACUGAAUAUAUACUAAAUAGAAGUGUUUAUAACUGAAUGAAAUGAUUAGAGCGACUACAGAAUAAAAAGGCUCCGUGUGUUUGAUAUCUGAGGUUUUUAGGCUUU